rnacentral:lncRNA from 1 species
ACAACCAUCAGAUCUCGUUCUAGUCAACCAUAUCAGUGUGUCUUUUGCUUCUCCUGUACCAUAGACAUAUAGAAGCAGAAACAAAAUUCAUUGGAAAACUGUGUGACUUGGUUCCAAGUUCCAUUGAUGUAAAAAUGACAACUCAUCCAUUGAUGUAACGAGUUCUUGCUAUCAGAAGCUAUUAUUGUCUAACUUACCUGAGAUAUUGCUUGAAUUUGAUUAAUCUCUGCUUCUUAUGCAUGCAAUUUUUCUUCCAACAUCAUGCAGAACUCAGUUGACAGGAUCAGGACAACAAAUAAAAAUUCAUAAUAAACAGAAAUGAUUCAAAAAAUAACAGUUAACAGGACCAGGACAGCAAAUGAAAGUCAUUAACAUAAAACAUUAAUCAUGUAAGUUUUACACUCUCC